CCAUCAAGAAGCCUUUUCCUCUCGGUGUCAGUGUCAGCCAAGUUAGCAUCGGCUUCCCCAAAGCCAUAAUUUUAAGCUGAUGACAUUGAUGAGUGAUCCAACAGUCUUGAGUGGUAGUUCUCACAUCAAGAAGCCUUUUCCUCUCGGUGUCAGUGUCAGCCAAGUUAGCAUCGGCUUCCCCAAAGCCAUAAUUUUAAGCUGAUGACAUUGAUGAGUGAUCCAACAGUCUUGAGUGGU
rnacentral:lncRNA from 1 species